rnacentral:lncRNA from 1 species
UUGGAACUAUAGAUCCAAAAAUGGGUAAGACCCAAAUCUUGCCCUCAAAAUACACAAAAGCAAAAACACAAACAAUAAAUUUCUACAAUCUUCAAAGGAGGCAGCUCCAUAAAAAAACAGGAGUAUUUAGAACACAGAUCCUAAGCCAGACUAUGUAAAUUCUAAGACAUGUGACCAUAGAUAAGUUACCUAACUCUCUGCACCUGUUAUCUCACCUAUAAAUAGGGGCAAUAAUUGUACUUCCCUCAUUAGGCAGUUAUUAUGAAAUAGGGAAUGAAUAUAUAGAAGGCAUUAGAAUGCCUUAGGUAAGAGCCUAGCAUGUGCAAGCAACGGGUAAAUGUUCUUAAAAGAACAAUAACGAUGUGAGUGUAUUCAUGGGGCAAGGGCUGGAGGUGAGGGGAGGGCGCUCAGAGGAUGGAAUAAAUGAUUCUAUCUGAGGAGUCGGUUAAACCCAAAGAAGAUGAUUUUGGUUCUGGAUCUCGAAGUUUGCUGAGCAGAACAAUAGAAGGGUUUUCUAGUUUUGGGGAAUAACACUGGCCAAGUUCUCACAAGGCAAGUUUUCUGAUUUGAGAUUGAGUCACUGUAAAAGUCUUAGCUAUCAACAUUGAAUGAGGCUUAGCUGAAUGUUUCACAAACUGUCUUGCAGCAAAAGGUACAAAAUUACAAGAUAUCAAGAAGGUGAUGGGCCGGUAAAUGUUUAACCUUCUGGGGAGUGAGGGAGGCCUGAUUUGUAGCAUUUGCUCAUUUCUGUGCUAGAAAUACUCCCACCACGGUUGAUUUCAAACUAUCGGUGUUGUCAACAGAUUCAUAAAAUUCCUGAAAAUUUAACACUUGGCUUUCAGAAGCUAGUCCAAGCAGUCUCCAACACACCACGGCCACACAAGCCCUCUGAGAAAUCUGGGCCUGGACCCUCUUCACCAGGAGUCACAGGACAAUGGAGAAAACAGAUCUGACCCUCUGCUCAGAGCACAGCUGGGACAAAAGUCUUCUGAGGUGGCCCAGCACACCUACUCCCUGAACUUCAUGACUUAUUGAAUCUGGCAUGAGUUUUCUUUGACAGCAACAGAAUCCGCCCCGGUUCUUUUAAUCAGGACGAUGACAUUUUGCAUUUUAGAUUAAAAGCUCACGAAAGAUCUGGGGUGUUAGAAAGCAGACCAAGGUUAGGCUUCCAACAGCAAUGUCCCAGAAAGACCAGGAUGAGAAAGACUGAGCCCUAAAAGGCAGGAACUCCACUAGCACCAAAGCCACUUUGGUCUUGGGGUGCUUACACCAGCACCAAAGUCACUUCUGCAUCAGAAAUUACAGGUGAAGAUGCCUAGAGAGCUGCCACUUCUGCUGCUGGUUUCACAGAAUGCCAGACUACCUGUUACAGCGCAAGAGAAAGACCCACACUCAUUCCAAGCCCGUGUGUUCCUAUGCUUCUUCCUCUCCAGCUUCCCCUGGGAGCUUCAGAUCUCAGGACUAAGUCCCAUCGUGCCUCCUUGCCUCUCCGGGUCUGGGUGUGAACUCUGCAGUUGCCGGGGUACUAAGAUUUAUAACACGAACUUUUCCCCAAAUCAGAAAGACGGAGCAAGCCUCUUCCACAAUUUCCAUUGAGAUUAGCUUCAGGUCCUUUUCUGCUUUGUACAGAAAAGUUUUCCCUGGAACCCUGCUAUCCUGAACUUCUUUCUACAAAUAAAACGGUCCCCUGUGCAGUUUCUGUGGUGGCUCAGUGGGUUAAGAAUCCAACUAGUAUCCAGGAGGAUGCGGGUCGGAUCUCUGACCUCGCUCGGUGAGUCAGGGAUCCGGCGUUGUUAGGUCGCCGAAGGGGCUCGGAUCUAGCGUUGCUGUGGCUGUGGCGCCGGCUGGAAGCAGUAGCUCAGAUUUGACCCAUAGCCUGGAAAUUUCCAUAUGCCAUAGGUGCAGCCCUAAAAAUAAAAAUAAAAUAAAAUAAAAGGGUCACCUGCUAGGGGAAGAAUUUUACACCAUAUAAGUACGUUCUUGUCUUUAACUGGCACUAGAGAGUUAGGUGCAUUCCCACUAGUUCUGCAUAAUUACCCACAAAAAAAGGGUCACAAAUUCUAGUAUUGUAGAGUAAAUACAGCCACAUGUUGGAAACAGACAGACCUGGUUACCUAGCCUCUGUACGCCUCAGUUUUAUCAUCUGUAGAAUGGGUAUGAUAAUAAUACCCUAUCUCACUGGUCUUAAGGAUUUAAUGAAAUCUGCUCUGUAAAGGAACGUGCAUCACAGUGAAGCUCAAAAUCUGUUAAAACUUUGCUAAAGGGCAUUAUGACUUAGUGGAAAGGGUAUGAAGUUUGAUGUCAGACAGACCACAUGAUGAGUAUGACCUGAGCCCCCAUUUUCUUGUCUGUAAAAUAAAGAUAAUAGCAAUUUCUCUCUUACAGAGCUGUUGUGAAGCGUAAAAAUAAUAUACCAUGUCUAGCACAAGAUCUGGUGUAUAAUAACUGCUCAAUUAAUGAUAGGCAUCCUCAAUACUAUUACUAUUAUCUAUGUCGUUACAGCCUAAGUAAGAACAUAAUCUAUUUCCAACUGGACUGGCCUCUCAGAAAAUAGUAGGAAUCUAGAUUAGGAACUUAAGAAACAACAAGUUCUAUACACUUUUUAAAUCAUCACAUAUCAUUCAUUCUGGCUUAUAAAGCUUUCAUUAUUUCAUCUGCACCCCAUGCCAGUCUUGUGAGGCAAGCAUAACAACUCCGUAAGAUUGUUACACUGCUUUUAUUUACUUUUUAAAAUUGUUUUUAUUGUGACACAAUUUUUUUUUUUUGCUUUUUAGGGAUGCACCCACAGCAUAUGAAGGUUCCCAGGCCAGGGCAACACCAGAUCCUUAACCCACUGAGUGAGGCCAGGGAUCAAACCUACAAGCCCUUGGUUCCUAGUUGGAUUCAUUUCCUCUGCACCACAACAGGAACUCCACGUGUCACAAUGUUUAAAGAUUACACUCAAUUUACAGUUAUUACAAAAUAUUAGCUAUAUACCCCGUGUUAUACACUACAUCCUUCAGCCUAUCUUACGCCCAGUAGCUUGUACUUCCCACUCCUCCACCCAUAUGUUGCCCCUCCCCCAUCCACUGAUAACCACUAAUUUGUUCUCUAUAUCUAUGAAUCUGCUUCUUUUUUGUAUAUUCGCUAGUUUGUUGUAUUUUUCGAUUCCACAAGUAAGGGAUAUCAUACAG